AACGAACGCUGGCGGCAUGCCUAACACAUGCAAGUCGAACGAGACCUUCGGGUCUAGUGGCGCACGGGUACGUAACGCGUGGGAACUUGCCCUUAGGUUCGGCAUAACUCCCCGAAAGGGGUGCUAAUACCGGAUAAUGUCUUCGGACCAAAGAUUUAUCGCCUUUGGAUGGGCCCUCGUUGGAUUAGCUAGUUGGUAGGGUAAAAGCAUACCAUGGAGACGAUCCAUAGCUGGUCUGAGAGGAGGAUCAGCCACACUGGGACUGAGACACGGCCCAGACUCCUACGGGAAGCAGCAGUGGGGAAUAUUGGACAAUGGGCGAAAGCCUGAUCCAGCAAUGCCGGGUGAGUGAUGAAGGCGUUAGGGUUGUAAAGCUCUUUUACCCGGGAUGAUAAUGACGGUACCGGGUGAAUAAGCUCCGGCUAACUCCGUG
rnacentral:rRNA from 1 species